GGUUGACGUACCUCUAGCCUGCUUUAGGUUGGGAUAACAGAUUCCCUCUCCAUUAGGUUGACGUACCUCUAGCCUGCUUUAGGUUGGGAUAACAGAUUCCCUCUCCAUUAGGUUGACGUACCUCUAGCCUGCUUUAGGUUGGGAUAACAGAUUCCCUCUCCAUUCAUUAGGUUGACGUACCUCUAGCCUGCUUUAGGUUGGGAUAACAGAUUCCCUCUCCAUUCAUUAGGUUGACGUACCUCUAGCCUGCUUUAGGUUGGGAUAACAGAUUCCCUCUCCAUUAGGUUGACGUACCUCUAGCCUGCUUUAGGUUGGGAUAACAGAUUCCCUCUCCAUUAGGUUGACGUACCUCUAGCCUGCUUUAGGUUGGGAUAACAGAUUCCCUCUCCAUUAGGUUGACGUACCUCUAGCCUGCUUUAGGUUGGGAUAACAGAUUCCCUCUCCAUUAGGUUGACGUACCUCUAGCCUGCUUUAGGUUGGGAUAACAGAUUCCCUCUCCAUUAGGUUGACGUACCUCUAGCCUGCUUUAGGUUGGGAUAACAGAUUCCCUCUCCAUUAUUAGGUUGACGUACCUCUAGCCUGCUUUAGGUUGGGAUAACAGAUUCCCUCUCCAUUAGGUUGACGUACCUCUAGCCUGCUUUAGGUUGGGAUAACAGAUUCCCUCUCCAUUAGGUUGACGUACCUCUAGCCUGCUUUAGGUUGGGAUAACAGAUUCCCUCUCCAUUAGGUUGACGUACCUCUAGCCUGCUUUAGGUUGGGAUAACAGAUUCCCUCUCCAUUAGGUUGACGUACCUCUAGCCUGCUUUAGGUUGGGAUAACAGAUUCCCUCUCCAUUAGGUUGACGUACCUCUAGCCUGCUUUAGGUUGGGAUAACAGAUUCCCUCUCCAUUAGGUUGACGUACCUCUAGCCUGCUUUAGGUUGGGAUAACAGAUUCCCUCUCCAUUAGGUUGACGUACCUCUAGCCUGCUUUAGGUUGGGAUAACAGAUUCCCUCUCCAUUAGGUUGACGUACCUCUAGCCUGCUUUAGGUUGGGAUAACAGAUUCCCUCUCCAUUAGGUUGACGUACCUCUAGCCUGCUUUAGGUUGGGAUAACAGAUUCCCUCUCCAUUAGGUUGACGUACCUCUAGCCUGCUUUAGGUUGGGAUAACAGAUUCCCUCUCCAUUAGGUUGACGUACCUCUAGCCUGCUUUAGGUUGGGAUAACAGAUUCCCUCUCCAUUAGGUUGACGUACCUCUAGCCUGCUUUAGGUUGGGAUAACAGAUUCCCUCUCCAUUAGGUUGACGUACCUCUAGCCUGCUUUAGGUUGGGAUAACAGAUUCCCUCUCCAUUAGGUUGACGUACCUCUAGCCUGCUUUAGGUUGGGAUAACAGAUUCCCUCUCCAUUAGGUUGACGUACCUCUAGCCUGCUUUAGGUUGGGAUAACAGAUUCCCUCUCCAUUAGGUUGACGUACCUCUAGCCUGCUUUAGGUUGGGAUAACAGAUUCCCUCUCCAUUAGGUUGACGUACCUCUAGCCUGCUUUAGGUUGGGAUAACAGAUUCCCUCUCCAUUAGGUUGACGUACCUCUAGCCUGCUUUAGGUUGGGAUAACAGAUUCCUCUCUCCAUUAGGUUGACGUACCUCUAGCCUGCUUUAGGUUGGGAUAACAGAUUCCCUCUCCAUUAGGUUGACGUACCUCUAGCCUGCUUUAGGUUGGGAUAACAGAUUCCCUCUCCAUUAGGUUGACGUACCUCUAGCCUGCUUUAGGUUGGGAUAACAGAUUCCCUCUCCAUUAGGUUGACGUACCUCUAGCCUGCUUUAGGUUGGGAUAACAGAUUCCCUCUCCAUUAGGUUGACGUACCUCUAGCCUGCUUUAGGUUGGGAUAACAGA